UUGAGUAACUUUUUAGAAAAAAAUCACUGUUACUGAUUAAAAGGUUCCUUCCCUAAG
rnacentral:tRNA from 1 species